UACGUAGGGUGCAAGCGUUGUCCGGAAUUAUUGGGCGUAAAGAGCUCGUAGGCGGUCUGUCACGUCGGCUGUGAAAUCCCGAGGCUCAACCUCGGGUCUGCAGUCGAUACGGGCAAACUAGAGUAUUGCAGGGGAGACUGGAAUUCCUGGUGUAGCGGUGAAAUGCGCAGAUAUCAGGAGGAACACCGGUGGCGAAGGCGGGUCUCUGGGCAAUAACUGACGCUGAGACGCGAAAGCGUGGGGAGCAAACAGG
rnacentral:rRNA from 1 species